GAAAUGCGAUAAGUAAUGUGAACUGCAGAAUUCCAUGAAUCAUCGAAUCUUUGAACGCACAUUGCGCCCUCUGGUAUUCCGGGGGGCAUGCCUGUCCGAGCGUCAUUGCGAACCCCUCAAGCACGGCUUGUGUGAUGGGCCCUCCCGCGUCUUGGUCGUCAAGACGGGCCCGAAAAGCAGUGGCGGCUUCGCGGUUAUCCGAUCAGCCAGAGCGUAUGGGGACUUUCUCUCUGUCACACGCCCGCGGCGCGGACCGACGCCUGUCGACCUUUAUUCAUCUUUUUCUCGGUUGACCUCGGAUCAGGUAGGGAUACCCGCUGAACUUAAGC
rnacentral:misc_RNA from 1 species